rfam:Triticum urartu cultivar G1812 contig920185, whole genome shotgun sequence.
CCUCUACUCCCUCUGUCCCGAAUUAGUAUGAUUUGUCUAGAUAUGGAUGUAUCUAGACACGUUUUAGUGUUAGACACAUCUGUAUCUAGACAAAUCUAAGACCACUAAUUUGGGAUGGAGGUAAUAUUUG